rnacentral:tRNA from 1 species
UGGCCCGUUGGUCAAGCGGUUAAGACACCGCCCUUUCACGGCGGUAACACGGGUUCGAGUCCCGUACGGGUCAUC